rnacentral:rRNA from 1 species
AUUGAACGCUGGCGGCAGGCCUAACACAUGCAAGUCGAGCGAGCGGCGGACGGGUGAGUACUGUCUGGGAACCUGCCUGAUGGAGGGGGAUAACUACUGGAAACGGUAGCUAAUAACGCAUACCAUCAGAUGUGCCCAGAUGGGAUUAGCUAGUAGGUGGGGUAACGGCCCACCUAGGCGACGAUCCCUAGCUGGUCUGAGAGGAGGACCAGCCAUACUGGAACUGAGCAACGGUCCAGACUCCUACGGGAGGCAGCAGUGGGGAAUAUUGCACAAUGGGCGCAAGCCUGAUGCAGCCAUGCCGCGUGAGUGAAGAAGGCCUUCGGGUUGUAAAGCACUGUUAGCGGGGAAGCGGUACCCGCAGAAGAAGCACCGGCUAACUCCGUGCCAGCAGCCGCGGUAAUUC